rnacentral:snRNA from 1 species
AUGCUGAUUUCGGUAGCACAGAUCCUAAAAUUGGAACGAUACAGAGAAGAUUAGCCUGGCCCCUGUGCAAGGAUAACUCACAAAUUCGUGAAGCGUUCCAUACUUUU